rnacentral:rRNA from 1 species
GAACGCGAAGAACCUUACCAGGUCUUGACAUUGAUGGACGAAACAAGAGAUUGUUUUUCUCCUUCGGGAGCCAGAAAACAGGUGGUGCACGGCUGUCGUCAGCUCGUGUCGUGAGAUGUUGGGUUAAGUCCCGCAACGAGCGCAACCCUUGUCAUUAGUUGCCAUCAUUUAGUUGGGCACUCUAAUGAGACUGCCGGUGACAAGCCGGAGGAAGGUGGGGAUGACGUCAAGUCCUCAUGGCCCUUAUGACCAGGGGCUUCACACGUCAUACAAUGGUCGGUACAGAGGGUAGCCAAGCCGCGAGGUGGAGCCAAUCUCACAAAACCGAUCGUAGUCCGGAUUGCACUCUGCAACUCGAGUGCAUGAAGUCGGAAUCGCUAGUAAUCGCAGGUCAGCAUACUGCGGUGAAUACGUUCCCGGGUCUUGUACACACC